rnacentral:rRNA from 1 species
ACGAACGCUGGCGGCGUGGAUAAGACAUGCAAGUCGAACGAGAGAAUUGCUAGCUUGCUAAUAAUUCUCUAGUGGCGCACGGGUGAGUAACACGUGAGUAACCUGCCCCCGAGAGCGGGAUAGCCCUGGGAAACUGGGAUUAAUACCGCAUAGUAUCGAAAGAUUAAAGCAGCAAUGCGCUUGGGGAUGGGCUCGCGGCCUAUUAGUUAGUUGGUGAGGUAACGGCUCACCAAGGCGAUGACGGGUAGCCGGUCUGAGAGGAUGUCCGGCCACACUGGAACUGAGACACGGUCCAGACACCUACGGGUGGCAGCAGUCGAGAAUCAUUCACAAUGGGGGAAACCCUGAUGGUGCGACGCCGCGUGGGGGAAUGAAGGUCUUCGGAUUGUAAACCCCUGUCAUGUGGGAGCAAAUUAAAAAGAUAGUACCACAAGAGGAAGAGACGGCUAACUCUGUGCCAGCAGCCGCGGUAAUACAGAGGUCUCAAGCGUUGUUCGGAAUCACUGGGCGUAAAGCGUGCGUAGGCUGUUUCGUAAGUCGUGUGUGAAAGGCGCGGGCUCAACCCGCGGACGGCACAUGAUACUGCGAGACUAGCGUAAUGGAGGGGGAACCGGAAUUCUCGGUGUAGCAGUGAAAUGCGUAGAUAUCGAGAGGAACACUCGUGGCGAAGGCGGGUUCCUGGACGUUAACUGACGCUGAGGCACGAAGGCCAGGGGAGCGAAAGGGAUUAGAUACCCCUGUAGUCCUGGCAGUAAACGGUGCACGCUUGGUGUGCGGGGAAUCGACCCCCUGCGUGCCGGAGCUAACGCGUUAAGCGUGCCGCCUGGGGAGUACGGUCGCAAGAUUAAAACUCAAAGAAAUUGACGGGGACCCGCACAAGCGGUGGAGUAUGUGGCUUAAUUCGAUGCAACGCGAAGAACCUUACCUGGGCUUGACAUGUAAUGAACAACAUGUGAAAGCAUGCGACUCUUCGGAGGCGUUACACAGGUGCUGCAUGGCCGUCGUCAGCUCGUGUCGUGAGAUGUUUGGUUAAGUCCAGCAACGAGCGCAACCCCUGUUGCCAGUUACCAGCACGUGAAGGUGGGGACUCUGGCGAGACUGCCCAGAUCAACUGGGAGGAAGGUGGGGACGACGUCAGGUCAGUAUGGCCCUUAUGCCCAGGGCUGCACACGUACUACAAUGCCCAGUACAGAGGGGGCCGAAGCCGCGAGGCGGAGGAAAUCCUGAAAACUGGGCCCAGUUCGGACUGUAGGCUGCAACCCGCCUACACGAAGCCGGAAUCGCUAGUAAUGGCGCAUCAGCUACGGCGCCGUGAAUACGUUCCCGGGUCUUGUACACACCGCCCGUCACAUCAUGGAAGCCGGUCGCACCCGAAGUAUCUGAAGCCAACCGCAAGGAGGCAGGGUCCUAAGGUGAGACUGGUAACUGGGAUG